GGUGGCCUUACCCUUGAUUUUGACCGUGUUCGGCAUGACGAGAUCUGAGAAGGAACAGGGCCUACGCUCAGCCCAGGAUAGACUGUUCGAUCUCAGUGGACCGUUGACACAAAUUUUCCUUAGGCCUGAUAAUGUCCUAAACGGUGGAGCUCUGGUUGAUGCCCAUCUCCUUCGGGAGUGGGCUCAAAGGGAUAGUUGUCUCCUGGGUAAUACCAAUGUGG